CCUACGGGUGGCAGCAGUGAGGAAUAUUGGUCAAUGGGCUUACGCCUGAACCAGCCAAGUCGCGUGAGGGAAGACUGCCCUAUGGGUUGUAAACCUCUUUUGUCAGGGAGCAAUUGGCGCUACGUGUAGCGUUAUCGAGAGUACCUGAAGAAAAAGCAUCGGCUAACUCCGUGCCAGCAGCCGCGGUAAUACGGAGGAUGCGAGCGUUAUCCGGAUUUAUUGGGUUUAAAGGGUGCGUAGGCGGAAUGCCAAGUCAGCGGUAAAAUCGCGGGGCUCAACCUCGCUCCGCCGUUGAAACUGGCGUUCUUGAGUGGGCGAGAAGUAUGCGGAAUGCGUGGUGUAGCGGUAAAAUGCGUAAAUAUAUGUAAGAACACCAGUGGCGAAGGCGGCUUGCUGGGUCGAUACUGACAUUGAGGCACUAAAGCGUGGGGAGCAAACAGGAUUAGAUACCCCUGUAGUC
rnacentral:rRNA from 1 species